UACAGAGGUCUCAAGCGUUGUUCGGAUUCAUUGGGCGUAAAGGGUGCGUAGGCGGCGCGGUAAGUCGGGUGUGAAAUCUCGGGGCUUAACUCCGAAACUGCAUUCGAUACUGCCGUGCUUGAGGACUGGAAAGGAGACUGGAAUUUACGGUGUAGCGGUGAAAUGCGUAGAUAUCGUAAGGAAGACCAGUGGCGAAGGCGGGUCUCUGGACAGUUC
rnacentral:rRNA from 1 species